GGUGGUUGAUCCAUGUCACGAGCACAAAUGUGAAAAAGGCCAACACUUCUUGGUCUCCGUCUGUGACACAAAAGGAAUAACUUGUGAAGAGGGUGAAUAUUUGAAAGUUCCAUCAAAUCCUAAAGUUGCCAGCGAUUGCUGCGAAUGCAAACCUUUUGAAAGUUGAGCGCAGUAUUUGUAUAAGAUGAGAGCAUCAAGUUGAAUGACCCGUUGAAAGAAGUCAAACGUUGGACCUCAAACUACCUAAAACUGGACUUGAAAUC